rnacentral:lncRNA from 1 species
CUCAUAAAAUAGGCAGACUUCGAGAUUGGUUGGGUUUUAGGCAGCAAUUUAAUUAAGAACUCUACUUUUUGUAGGGGAGGUAGACCAAGAAGUUCAAUAGGAAAAACAUCCAGAAAGUUACAAACAAUUGAUACAGCACACACAGUAGGAUUAGCAUCCAUAUUCCUGUUUAUUCAAUGGUUAGGAAAAAUAAUAACAAAAUUUCAUUUCUUUUUCAUGGAUUGUAAAGUUAUAAUUUUAUUUUCAUAAUUGAUUAUAGCUCUAUACUUUUUCAAUCCGUCCAUUCCUAAUAUCACAUCAAAUCCUACAAAAUCUAAUAGUAUCAGAUUUACAAAUACCUCU